rnacentral:rRNA from 1 species
UACGUAGGGGGCAAGCGUUGUCCGGAUUUAUUGGGCGUAAAGAGCGUGUAGGCGGCCAUGCAGGUCCGUUGUGAAAACUCGAGGCUCAACCUCGAGACGCCGAUGGAAACCGCAUGGCUAGAGUCCGGAAGAGGAGAGUGGAAUUCCCGGUGUAGCGGUGAAAUGCGCAGAUAUCGGGAAGAACACCCGUGGCGAAGGCGGCUCUCUAGUACGGUACUGACGCUGAGACGCGAAAGCGUGGGGAGCGAACAGG